GAUGAACGCUGGCGGCGUGCCUAAUACAUGCAAGUCGAGCGAACAGACGAGGAGCUUGCUCCUCUGACGUUAGCGGCGGACGGGUGAGUAACACGUGGAUAACCUACCUAUAAGACUGGGAUAACUUCGGGAAACCGGAGCUAAUACCGGAUAAUAUAUUGAACCGCAUGGUUCAAUAGUGAAAGACGGUUUUGCUGUCACUUAUAGAUGGAUCCGCGCCGCAUUAGCUAGUUGGUAAGGUAACGGCUUACCAAGGCAACGAUGCGUAGCCGACCUGGGAGGGUAAUGGGCACACUUGGACUUGAGCAACGGUCCAGCACCUUCGGGGAGCAAGAAGAGGGAAACUUUCGGAAAUGGGCGAAAGCUUGAGGGGGAACGGCGGGGGGGGUGAUGAGGGCUUUCGGACGGUAAACUCUUGUUAUUAGGAAAGACAAAAUGUGAAAGUAACAAUGACGGCUUUGCGGGACCCUAACAAGAAAGCACCGCUUACUUCCGU
rnacentral:rRNA from 1 species